UCUUUCGCUCCUUAAAUCAAUUAUUCGGAAAAGAAAAUUAGACUGUCGUGGUUUUAGAAUGUCGUCUUAAACUCCUUUUCAGACAUUUGGCUGCUGCCCAAGGCAUCGAUGGCGACGCCUGCCGGCCAUUUGCGCCCUCCAUCCGUACGUAACACCUUCAACACUUAUCUUCAUCCCAACGAAUUAAAUUCUGGCAGCCCACAUAUUUUAAUUAAACCACAGCCCAAGUACUUAUUUCCUUUAGCCCAAGAUUAAGUAAAUUGGAAAGCCCAAACAAAUUAAUCAUCCAACAAAUAAAUUUGGGUGCUCAAAUUUAAAGACACCAAAUCAAGAUUUUAGAGAGUGUCGGUGUCUGUAAUCCUCCCCAAACUAUUCUCACUCUUAGGAACCUCCGUCUACCUCUUCUCCCUCACGCACCAUCUACCAUUAACGCAGCUGCUGGCUCUUCUUCCUAUCGCUGUCACAUCCAAACAGAAACUCCACUUUGUCUCCCCGCACCAGCAGCCGUUUGUACCUCCGUCGCGAGGCUGCCGUCCCAAACAGCGUCGUCGCUGCUGCGUUUCCUCCAGCACAGUCCCGCUGUGUCCGUGUUCAUCGCCGUUAGCCACUGCGAUUUCCAGUUGCGCUGCCAGGAGUCAACUCGCCAGGAAGUUGCCAGCACCGUCUCGCCCCGUCGCUAUUCCCUUGACGGGAGACAGCCUGCUCAACCCCUCUCCGUUUACUUGGCCAACCAUGGUGGUGGAGUGUGUAUUGGCAGAGAUGUGCAGGGAGAGAAGCUGGAGAGUGAAUCGCAGAAAAGAUUUCCUUCUGGACUAUGAGUUUUAAUGGAAUUGGGCUCACAAGAAAAAUUCGCUUAAAACAAAUAUGUAUUUGGACUUAAGUAAUUUGAGUCCAAACAUUAUAUAUAUUUUUUAAAUACUUAGGCCUAAAUUACUUGUACCUCAAACCAAUCAGACUAAUAUCUUGAACGUUGCUAAUAUAUUUGAUAGGCUCAAA